UACAGAGGUCUCAAGCGUUGUUCGGAUUCAUUGGGCGUAAAGGGUGCGUAGGUGGCGCCGUAAGUCGGGUGUGAAAUUUCGGAGCUUAACUCCGAAACUGCAUUCGAUACUGCGGUGCUUGAGGACUGGAGAGGAGACUGGAAUUCAUGGUGUAGCAGUGAAAUGCGUAGAGAUCAUCGAGGAAGACCAGUGGCGAAGGCGGGUCUCUGGACAGUUCCUGACACUGAGGCACGAAGGCCAGGGGAGCAAACGGG
rnacentral:rRNA from 1 species